GAUGAAGAACGCAGCGAAAUGCGAUAAGUAAUGCGAAUUGCAGAAUUUCCGUGAAUCAUCGAAUCUUUGAACGCACAUUGCGCCCCUUGGUAUUCCAUGGGGCAUGCCUGUUCGAGCGUCAUUUGUACCUUCAAGCUUUGCUUGGUGUUGGGUGUUUGUCUCGCCUUUGCGUGUAGACUCGCCUUAAAAUAAUUGGCAGCCGGCGUAUUGAUUUCGGAGCGCAGUACAUCUCGCGCUUUGCACUCAUAACGACAGCGUCCAAAAGUACAUUUUACACUCUUGACCUCGGAUCAGGUAGGGAUACCCGCUGAACUUAAGCAUAUCAAUAAGCGGAGGA
rnacentral:misc_RNA from 1 species